rnacentral:rRNA from 1 species
GACGAACGCUGGCGGCGUGCUUAACACAUGCAAGUCGAACGGAAAGGCCCUGCUUUUGUGGGGUGCUCGAGUGGCGAACGGGUGAGUAACACGUGAGUAACCUGCCCUUGACUUUGGGAUAACUUCAGGAAACUGGGGCUAAUACCGGAUAGGAGCUCCUGCUGCAUGGUGGGGGUUGGAAAGUUUCGGCGGUUGGGGAUGGACUCGCGGCUUAUCAGCUUGUUGGUGGGGUAGUGGCUUACCAAGGCUUUGACGGGUAGCCGGCCUGAGAGGGUGACCGGCCACAUUGGGACUGAGAUACGGCCCAGAAUCCUACGGGAGGCAGCAGUGGGGAAUAUUGCAAAAUGGGCGGAAGCCUGAUGCAGCAACGCCGCGUGCGGGAUGACGGCCUUCGGGUUGUAAACCGCUUUCGCCUGUGACGAAGCGUGAGUGACGGUAAUGGGUAAAGAAGCACCGGCUAACUACGUG